rnacentral:rRNA from 1 species
UACAGAGGGGGCAAGCGUUGUUCGGAAUUACUGGGCGUAAAGAGCGUGUAGGCGGCCAGGUAGGUCUGGUGUGAAAACUCGAGGCUUAACCUCGAGAUGUCAUCGGAAACCAUCUGGCUAGAGUCCGGAAGAGGAGAGUGGAAUUCCUGGUGUAGCGGUGAAAUGCGCAGAUAUCAGGAAGAACACCAAUGGCGAAAGCAGCUCUCUGGGACGGUACUGACGCUGAGACGCGAAAGCGUGGGGAGCGAACAGG